CCUACGGGAGGCAGCAGUGGGGAAUUUUGGACAAUGGGGGCAACCCUGAUCCAGCCAUGCCGCGUGAGUGAAGAAGGCCUUCGGGUUGUAAAGCUCUUUCGGCCGGAACGAAAUCGCGCACGUGAAUAACGUGCGUGGAUGACGGUACCGGAGUAAGAAGCACCGGCUAACUACGUGCCAGCAGCCGCGGUAAUACGUAGGGUGCGAGCGUUAAUCGGAAUUACUGGGCGUAAAGCGUGCGCAGGCGGUUCGCUAAGUCAGACGUGAAAGCCCCGGGCUUAACCUGGGAACGGCGUUUGAAACUGGCGGGCUCGAGUACGGCAGAGGGGGGUGGAAUUCCACGUGUAGCAGUGAAAUGCGUAGAUAUGUGGAGGAACACCGAUGGCGAAGGCAGCCCCCUGGGCCGAUACUGACGCUCAUGCACGAAAGCGUGGGGAGCAAACAGGAUUAGAUACCCUGGUAGUCCACGCCCUAAACUAUGUCAACUAGUUGUCGGGAAGCAAUUCCUUGGUAACGCAGCUACGACGUGAGUAGUACGCCGUCGGAGGUACGGUCGCGAGAGUAAACUACAAGAAGUAGACGCGUGAGACGUGCGACGACGACGACGAGGGAGAGG
rnacentral:rRNA from 1 species